rnacentral:rRNA from 1 species
AGUAGCCGCGGGAAUACAGAGGGUGCGAGCGUUAAUCGGAUUUACUGGGCGUAAAGCGUGCGUAGGCGGCUUCUUAAGUCGGAUGUGAAAUCCCUGAGCUUAACUUAGGAAUUGCAUUCGAUACUGGGAAGCUAGAGUAUGGGAGAGGAUGGUAGAAUUCCAGGUGUAGCGGUGAAAUGCGUAGAGAUCUGGAGGAAUACCGAUGGCGAAGGCAGCCAUCUGGCCUAAUACUGACGCUGAGGUACGAAAGCAUGGGGAGCAAACAGGAUUAGAUACCCCGGUAGUCCCUGUCUCUUAUACA